rnacentral:rRNA from 1 species
UACGAAGGGGGCUAGCGUUGCUCGGAAUCACUGGGCGUAAAGGGUGCGUAGGCGGGUUUUUAAGUCAGGGGUGAAAUCCUGGAGCUCAACUCCAGAACUGCCUUUGAUACUGAAAAUCUUGAGUCCGAGAGAGGUGAGUGGAACUGCGAGUGUAGAGGUGAAAUUCGUAGAUAUUCGCAAGAACACCAGUGGCGAAGGCGGCUCACUGGCCCGGUACUGACGCUGAGGCACGAAAGCGUGGGGAGCAAACAGG